UCCUCUUUACUCAGUGGAUACUGUAAUGGCCAAGUUCCAGUUAGUGAAGGCACUUGCCCUGAUGCUCAUGGCAGAUCUCACUAGAAGGGAACAGAAACACUUAAUAAACCAGCACUUAACCCAGCCCUGCUUUCUUCUUCCUCCUGCAGGGCCUGCAUGGUGUUGCCAUCUGAAAGGCUCUGACUACAGCUGGUCCUACCAGACUCCACCACCCUGUCCCAGCAGUUCUGGCUCUCGCAAGUUGCGCACAUGCAGAUUCAUGGUGCAUCUGGAGAAGAAUGAAAAUGGGCUGUCUUCAAAAGCAUUACAUCCUGUUUAACAUCACCUGCUCAGAGAAAUUAAUGGCCCAGCUACCCACAUGUGGCAGCCAACCCAAGGAAGCUGA